rnacentral:rRNA from 1 species
AUUGAACGCUGGCGGCAGGCCUAACACAUGCAAGUCGAACGGUAACAGGAAGAUUCUUGCUUCUUUUCUGACGAGUGGCGGACGGGUGAGUAAUGUCUGGGAAACUGCCUGAUGGAGGGGGAUAACUACUGGAAACGGUAGCUACUACCUCAUAACGUCUCAAGACCAAUGAGGGGGGCCUUCGGGCCUCUGGCCAUCGUGUAUUCCCGGAUGGGAUUAGCUUGUAGGUGGGGUAACGGCUCAACUAGGCGGCGAUCCGUAGCUGGUCUGAGAGGAUGACCAGCGGCACGAGAGCUGAGCCACGGUCAAGACUACUGAGAGAGGCAGCAGUGGGGAAUAUGAGGCAGUGGGGGCGAGCAUGAUGCAGCGAUGCCGAGUGUAUGAAGAAGGCCUUCGGGUUGGAAAGUACGUUCAGGGGGGAGGAAGGGAGUAAAGUUAAUACCUUGGCUGAUUGACGUUAACGGGAGAAGAAGCACCGGCUAACUACGUG